rnacentral:rRNA from 1 species
CCUACGGGAGGCAGCAGUGGGGAAUAUUGCACAAUGGGCGCAAGCCUGAUGCAGCGACGCCGCGUGCGGGAUGACGGCCUUCGGGUUGUAAACCGCUUUUGACUGGGAGCAAGCCCUUCGGGGUGAGUGUACCUUUCGAAUAAGCACCGGCUAACUACGUGCCAGCAGCCGCGGUAAUACGUAGGGUGCAAGCGUUAUCCGGAAUUAUUGGGCGUAAAGGGCUCGUAGGCGGUUCGUCGCGUCCGGUGUGAAAGUCCAUCGCUUAACGGUGGAUCCGCGCCGGGUACGGGCGGGCUUGAGUGCGGUAGGGGAGACUGGAAUUCCCGGUGUAACGGUGGAAUGUGUAGAUAUCGGGAAGAACACCAAUGGCGAAGGCAGGUCUCUGGGCCGUUACUGACGCUGAGGAGCGAAAGCGUGGGGAGCGAACAGGAUUAGAUACCCUGGUAGUCCACGCCGUAAACGGUGGAUGCUGGAUGUGGGGCCCGUUCCACGGGUUCCGUGUCGGAGCUAACGCGUUAAGCAUCCCGCCUGGGGAGUACGGCCGCAAGGCUAAAACUCAAAGAAAUUGACGGGGGCCCGCACAAGCGGCGGAGCAUGCGGAUUAAUUCGAUGCAACGCGAAGAACCUUACCUGGGCUUGACAUGUUCCCGACAGCCGUAGAGAUACGGUCUCCCUUCGGGGCGGGUUCACAGGUGGUGCAUGGUCGUCGUCAGCUCGUGUCGUGAGAUGUUGGGUUAAGUCCCGCAACGAGCGCAACCCUCGCCCUGUGUUGCCAGCACGUCAUGGUGGGAACUCACGGGGGACCGCCGGGGUCAACUCGGAGGAAGGUGGGGAUGACGUCAGAUCAUCAUGCCCCUUACGUCCAGGGCUUCACGCAUGCUACAAUGGCCGGUACAACGGGAUGCGACGCGGCGACGCGGAGCGGAUCCCUGAAAACCGGUCUCAGUUCGGAUCGCAGUCUGCAACUCGACUGCGUGAAGGCGGAGUCGCUAGUAAUCGCGAAUCAGCAACGUCGCGGUGAAUGCGUUCCCGGGCCUUGUACACACCGCCCGUCAAGUCAUGAAAGUGGGUAGCACCCGAAGCCGGUGGCCCAACCUUUUGGGGGGAGCCGUCUAAGGUGAGACUCGUGAUUGGGACUAAGUCGUAACAAGGUAGCCGUACCGGAAGGUGCGGCUG